rnacentral:rRNA from 1 species
UACGGAGGAUGCAAGCGUUAUCCGGAAUGGUUGGGCGUAAAGCGUCCGCAGGUGGCUGUGUAAGUCUGCUGUUAAAGAGUCUAGCUCAACUAGAUAAAAGCAGUGGAAACUACACGGCUAGAGUACGUUCGGGGCAGAGGGAAUUCCUGGUGUAGCGGUGAAAUGCGUAGAGAUCAGGAAGAACACCGGUGGCGAAGGCGCUCUGCUAGGCCGUAACUGACGCUAAAGCGCGACAGCAUGGGGAGCAAACGGG